UGAUUUUGAAGGCUAUGCCUCCCAGAAAUCCUCCCUGUGAAUACGAUGCGUUUUAUUCACUUACGACAAUGUUGUGACAUCAAUCAUGUCCUGCAGUAUGGGCUGCAGCCAUUAUGGUGCCCGGUACUUUCCCUGUAAUUAUUUUUCAAGUCAUUUCCAGAGUACUUCAUUAAAUGUUUUUAAUGCCGCUAUGGGGAAUCAGAAAAUAAACUAAUUCCAUUUUCCAGGGCUUUUAAGAAAUGUAGCUUUAUUUUAGGUUGAAGUUAAUUUUGUAUUGCUACCUUUGUCAGAGGCAUACAAGGUAGUACUUUUUAUCUUUGGAAGAUAAGGAUUUCAUUGUUGCAAUCUAGGAAAAAAUGCCUAUACCAGUGAAGUCUCUCUCUCUCUCUCUCUCUCUCUCUCUCUCUCUCUCUCUCUUUUUUAAUUUGGCAAGGGAGGGAGGAAAAGCAACGUUACCAUUCCCUCUCCCAUAUGCUCCAACUUUUAUGUCUGUUUUGCCAUCUAUUCCAUUAACCUUAUGAUUAAUGAAAGUCUCCAGAAUUUUAAAUACCUUGAAAGGGAGCCAACGCCUGGUCUUUGGAGGCUAUGUUGAAAAUAAACAACGAUAAAAACGGGGAGAUGCAGGCUUUUGAAGUCCUUAAAGACACGACCACUGUGAUCUUUGUACCACGGUGCAGAAAAGAGGACAGCAUUUCACAUUUCUGGCAUUACUCACGACAACACAGCCACUGAAAGCGAGCAUGAAUUUCUGGGAGUAGCAUUAGGAUACAGGGCUCCUGCUGAGCUCACCAGUUCCUUGCUCUGCACAGCUGCCUUCUCAGCUGGGGGUUUUUAAAUCAGCACAGUGAGAAAAGAUAGCAAUGGCCAUGAUGCAUCUUCCUCCCUAUGAGAAAAAGUUAUGGGAGAAGGAUUCUGAACUUCUCGUGGCUGUGCUGACAUCAGUAAGAGUUGGAGAAAGUAUACAUUUAAGAAAACGUAUACAUUCCCACCCACAGGAUAUUAAGUGCUCUCAGCAUUACAGGUGGAAUGAUUGUAUGCAUUUUGAAUUGUUUAUGAAGAAGUGGUGGCGAAAACUCUAGAUAUGUUUUACUUCCACUCUUUGGCUCCUCUUGUAUGUGACCAUGCAGAUGGCCGAGAAAGGUUGGAAAAGAGUUAACUGCCCUCUACUCCAGGUAAAGACCUUAGCCCGAGAAGGUAGCUUCUACAGCAACAAAUUGGAUGGACUCAGACACAAAUUGGGACAUAGUAUAUGUUCAGUACAUAUUUCUCAAACAUUGUAUACGUGAAUGAAUGAAACAAACCAAAUGACAUAGACCGGUGACUCUCUGGUUUCAAAAUAUUUCUCGACUGUUCUCCCAGCUAGUCAUUGGAACCGCGGCACAGAUUUUCUUUCACAAUGUAACUUUGGAUUCCGAAGCAAAGAGAAGAAGGAUGCGCCAGGUGGUUGAUGGAAGAAGGCUGGAGGCUAGGCUAGAGGCAAGUGUACUGGCUAUUUGCAGCGUGGCAGAGGGGUUGAGUGUACGUGCUUACCCUCACCUCGGCAACCUGGGUUGCCUUGCUGGCGAGUCCUUUCCUACUGGUCUCUACCUUACUCUCCCUUAGAACUCACCUAAAGAUCGUUGAUUGUUGGGCGCUUGUUUCCAACUCACGGGAAUGCAUGACUCACUUAGAGAGGUGUUCUUUGGAGAAAUAGAGUUCCUCAAAACUUAGAAGACAAAACGACUGAUUGACAUUACCAUUCCUGCAAUAACAUCUGUAUAAGAUUUGUACCCUGGUCUAGAAACCAGAGUAUACGUUAUGAUACAUGUUUCCAUGGGAAAAUGUACUCCGAGGUUCAGUUAGCUUCAAGGCAUUUUUGAAGCAUGAGCCACUGGUGAGCUGGGAUAAUGAUUUAGAAUCCAGAUUCAAAUAGAAAUUAAUUAGAAGAAAUGGCAGCAACUCUUUCCUAUAGCACAGA
rnacentral:lncRNA from 1 species